UACGGAGGGUGCGAGCGUUAAUCGGAAUUACUGGGCGUAAAGCGUGCGCAGGCGGUGAGCUGUGUCCGAUGUGAAAGCCCCGGGCUCAACCUGGGAAUGGCCGUUGAAACUGGCGAACUGGAGUGUGGCAGAGGGGGGUGGAAUUCCGCGUGUAGCAGUGAAAUGCGUAGAGAUGCGGAGGAACACCGAUGGCGAAGGCAGCCCCCUGGGCUGACACUGACGCUCAGGCACGAAAGCGUGGGGAGCAAACAGG
rnacentral:rRNA from 1 species